rnacentral:tRNA from 1 species
AUUUAAAUAGUUUAUUUAGAAUUAUAAUUUGUGGUAUUAUAGGAGUAAUAUGGAAAUUACUUUAAAUC